AUGGGGGCACCGCAUGUUCUUUCAUCAGCGUUGCUAAAAAAUGCACAACAGAUUGGUGACAUUAAGGGGGUAUCGUUUGGGAGCACUGGCCCCACGGUAACUCACCUGCUUUUCGCUGAUAAUAGCAUUGUGUUUCUCGAGGGUUCCGAAAGUAACCUGGAGGCUCUCAAAACCAUCUUGCAUAAUUAUGAAGUAGCCUCUAGACAGAAGGUAAAUAUGCAAAAGUCAUCCAUCUUCUUUGGCAAGGGAAGUACAGAAGAGAAUAAGGAGCAUCUCAAGGAGAUUAUUGGGAUCCAAUCAGAGGCUUUGAGUGAAAAAUACUUGGGUUUACCAACUGUGGUUGGAAGGUCCAAAGAAGGGACUUUUAAAUAUGUCCGGGAAAGUGCUAAGGGAAAGGUUACUGGGUACAAAGGGCAGGGUAUGUCCAAGAAGGCUCGUGAGGUGCUGGUCAAGUCGGUGCUCCAAUCUGUCCCUACGUUCACCAUGAGCUGCUUCCAACUCACUUAG
rnacentral:rRNA from 1 species